GCGCCCGUGGUGAAAUGGAUAUCACAGCGGCCUUCGAAGCCGUUUUUGGGGGUUCGAAUCCCUCCGGGCGCA
rnacentral:tRNA from 1 species